rnacentral:rRNA from 1 species
AGAAAGUCGAUUCCGUAAGUAGCGGCGAGCGAACGCGGAUUAGCCCAAACCAAUAAAGUUUUCUUUAUUGGGGUUGCGGACAUAUCAUAACGAAGAGGUAUCGUAAUUGAAGAGGUUUGGAAAGACCCACCACAGAAGGUAAUAGGCCUGUAUGUUAAACGAGAAGACUUUAGAUAUGAUCCAGAGUACCACGGGACACGUGAAACCCUGUGGGAAGCAGGAGGGACCACCCUCCAAGGCUAAAUACUACCUAGUGACCGAUAGCGUAUAGUACCGUGAGGGAAAGGUGAAAAGAACCCCGGGAGGGGAGUGAAAUAGAACCUGAAACCCUGCACUUACAAGCUGUGGAAGCACAUUUCUUGUGUGACCGCGUACUUUUUGUAGAACGGGCCAACGAGUUACGUUAAGUAGAAAGGAUAAGCACUUAAGGUG